CAGCCGCGGUAAUUCCAGCUCCAAUAGCGUAUAUUAAAGUUGUUGCAAGUUAAAAGCUCGUAGUUGAAUUUCGGGUCAGUAGGCUGGUCGUGCCACCGGUACGUACUGGUCUCACUGAUUCCUCCUUCCUGAAGAACCGUAAUGCCAUUAAUUUGGUGUUGCGGGGAAACUAGGACUGUUACUUUGAAAAAAUUAGAGUGUUUAAAGCAAGCUAACGCUUGAAUACAUUAGCAUGGAAUAAUGAAAUAGGACGAUCGAUCCUAUUUUGUUUGGUUUCUAGGAUUGACGUAAUGAUUAAUAGGGAGUAGUUGGGGGCAUUAGUAUUCAAUUGUUAGAGGUGAAAUUCUUGGAUUUAUUGAAGACUAACUACUGCGAAAGCAUUUGCCAAGGAUGUUUCAUUAAUCAAGAACGAAAAGUUAGGGGAUCGAAGACGAUCAGAUACCGUCGUAGUCUUAACCCCAUAAACUAUGCCGACUAGGGGAUCGGAUGAUGUUAAUUUUUAUAAUGACUCAUUCGGCGCCUUACGGGAAAC
rnacentral:rRNA from 1 species